ensembl:misc_RNA Gm23657 predicted gene, 23657
GGAUGUGAGGGCAAGCUGGCUGCAAUGUCUGUCACCCCGUUGAUCCCAGCUUGGUUUAGCUGAUCUGUGGCCAGGUGGCUUUCCCCUUCUCCCUCACGGUUCUGUUUGGGUUCCCUCCUCAAGCUACACGCUCGGUUGAGAACAGAGACCUCCCCAAAUGUACAACCAGUCUUCAGGGUAUGCCAGGAGCUGACCCCCUUGCUAGAACCUCCAAACCAGACCUCAUUUUAAAGCCUAAAUAUAUAAAAGUAAAGGGGAGAAGAUAGUUUUCCCAUUGUGGGAUUUUAGUUUUGU